GGCAAGGGUAUCCUAUACUACUAGGAGAAUCAUAGCUAGCAUAGGUACAGUAAUAAUACUAACAAUGCAACUAAUAAAAUCUAGUGCAUAAUAAAAUAAUAGGAUCAUGGUCAAAGGUAACUUGCCUGAUUAGUGUCUUUGUAUUCUUCUUCUUUUCGAUACUCACAGUUACCGCACUCCGUAUAAUCUAUCGCGAAGAACGAAAAGCAAUAAUAAAUAACCAUUCGACAACUCCAAAUCAUAACUCCAAAUAAAGAACCAAAGCAAUAUACAAAGUUUAAAUUAAACAGUACCUAACUACUGUUAGGCUAUCCUAGGCAUAGAUCUAAGAGGUAGGAACAAGGCUUGGGUUCUAUCGGAGUUGAAAUGGUGAAAUCAUUGGCUGUUAACAGAUACAAUUUUCUAGGAGUCAUGGGCUAUGGUAGAUGAACUUAAAAAGGUGCACGAAGUGGUCCAGAAUUAAGAAUUGUGUUUAUUCUUGUCAACCCAGAAAGAAAGAACUGGUUUAGAACUAGGAUCAACAUGUAUGAGCUUUGGAACAUUGCUAAUCAAUAAGACAGUGCUCAAAGAUACAAAGUUUGGUUGAAAAUUGACUAGUGUGUCUAUGUGGGAAAAAGUGCACCAAGUGGUCUAAACUGUAGAUAAAGGUGUGCUCUAAACAAAAAAAAAAGAAUUGGACGAAAAGGAGUUAUGUUUCACAGGUUACAAGGCCUGGAAUGAAGCUAGUCAAAACAGUACUGUUUUGAGGUCGUGACAGAAAAACGGCUAAGGAUAGGGGGCUGCUAAGAAAACAGUUUUGCAACGACGAUGCACUAGUGAAUAUGGACUAUAAUGGGUUCAAAAACUGACCUAAUAUGUAUAUAUAGAUGUGGUAUAACUACAGAAAAAAGAAUCAGAUCAAAAUGGUCUAUGGUUCAAAAGAUACGGGCUCCCAAAUAUGACUAAUCAAUACGAACAGUUCUGCAAAUUCCUGCCGGAAUCCUGCCGCGGCAGACAGUCGGCAGAGGUAGUUUUCUUACCAAAACGGGGACAGCUCGCCGGGGGAUGAAACGGAAACGGCGAGGAACUCGUCGGCAAGGUCGAUG
rnacentral:lncRNA from 1 species